AGAGCCGACGAUAGCCGAGUUCAGCCGAAGUGCCGAAACAAGCCCAGCUUAGACCAACAGCCGAACCAAACCGCCGCUGCACGUACGUGUUUUAAUCGCGUAACCAGGCGGACUCGGGAAAGCCGACAGCCGGAGUAGAUUUCUCUUUGGUCUGUGUCUGUGAGGAGCGGGCUGUGUGCUGGACAGGCAGAGACGCUGUCGGAGCGUGGCGACAGCGCCAGCUGUGAGCUCUGACGAUGAUGAGGGCUCCGAGCAGCCCCAGCCCUGAGCUGCGAGGAUGAGGAGGGGGCGGCUCCUGCCGGGAGGAGGCUGUUUUAGGGGGGAAGGGGUUGCCUGAGCUCCCUUUUGCCUGGAGCUGCUGAGCAGAGGGGUUUAUGGGGGGCUCCCGGCGCUGUCUCGUGGAAGGACGCCGAGAGCUUCUCCGAGGGUCUGGGGGAACACCUGGAUACGCACUUGGAUGCGUGGAGCAUUGCUCAAAGGAGGUGCCGAGGAACAAAGCUCCGUGCCGGGAAGCAGCAGCCGAACAGCUGUGACCAAGGGACCAGAGCCCGGUGACAGCGGGAAAUUGCCAGCGAGAGAGGCGGCCUUCCUUUGCAGCGGACGUGGAUUCUCAUCCCAGGAUGCUCGAGAGAUAAGUCGAGGGCUGUGCCACGCUGAGGGGAUGGAAGCGAGGUGCUGGGAGGGCCUUUUGAGUAGCUUCUUGGGAGGCAGGGAUGUGCAGGAGAUGGCCCCUUAGGCCACAUGGAGGAGAAGUCUCAGCGUGCUGAGGUGCUCAGGGCAGAGCGGUCCUGGUGCCUGUCACUUGUGUCACUUGUCUGUCGUGCCUUCUGUGUCUUUUGGAUGUCUCGUGUCUUGUGCCUUAGUCCUUUGAGGGGCUUAUGGUUUGUCCUGUUCUGUGUCACGGGUGUCUGGGUGUUUGGGCCGAUGCCGCUCUGCCCUGCUGCAAAGCCUGGUGUAGGUAUCAUAGGAGAAGUCCUGGGGGCCUGGAAAGAUGCUGGUUUUUUCUGGAAGAUUUACGUGAGAGCAGAAAAGUUACAAUGGCAUUGCAGUUCCCUGCACAGAAAAGACCCAGGGAAGCGGAACACAGCCAGGUGGUUUUGUGUGGCACCACAACUGAGAGCAUCAGUUAGGUGAGGAGGCGCGAGCAGCUCCCCGCUUUCGCAGACACAGUAGCAAUGUCAAGCAGUUUCGCCCUUUUCCAGACCACUGGCACGUGCUUGGGGACAAUAAGCUGUAUUUUUUACAGCCAGGUCUUCUGAGCCGCACUCCUCCUGCUCUGGGGUGGCCGCUGCUCACUGAUCACGGUGAAAACAACCUUGUGUCCCGGCACCCUGCAAAAUUCCCAGCUUAGAUGCCACUGAAGCGCAGCUUUGGCUUUCAGGCAUCUCCCUUGCAACCUGUGCCUUGUGUGGUCUCUGCAGGGAAUUAGUUAUUAAUUAAUUGCUUCCAAUUUUUUUUUAAUUUCCAAAGAAUAUCAGGUGACUUUUACAUCCUCUUCAGUGCUCCCCAAGCUUCACACCACACCUAAGUGCUGACUUUCACUGCCUACAGGUCUUUUCUGACCGAAAUGAUACUGCGAAUUCUUCCCUUAACUUGAGCUUAAGGGCAAAGCGCCGCAUUGAUUGCAUUUUGGAGAGAGAGGUUUGAAGGCUCGGCUGUAAAUUUCUCUUGUGUCCCGUCUUCCGGGUUCAUUCGUGUUGUAAUUUGCAAGUGGCAGAAGAGCGUUGCUGUUUAUUAAAAGCAAUAGCGCUCUCAAAGUGUCGAUGGGGGUGAUGAUGGCAGGGGUGACAAUUGCGAAAAAUAACUUUGCCCACAUCUUCCCCAGGGCCUGGGCAGAGAGAGGUGGAGCUGGGCCGUGGAGUCCCCCGGAUCCUUCCACGGGUGUGGGCGUCUGCAGCACCGGGGAUCCGUGGCAACAACUCCUUCCUGCAGAGGCUGAAAGCUGAGCCUACAAUUUCAAGCAGGACAAUCACCUUCCCAAGGCAAUAACAAGCGCCUCCCAAGAGCAGCUGGUGAAGGCGGCUCAGAAGGGAUGUGGUGAAACGUUUGGUCCAUCCAUCGUGCUUCUGGACGUGCAGGAAUCUUCAAAAUCCUUUCCUCCUCCUCAAGACUCUGGGGCUCCUCAUUCCGUAGAAGUGUGUGAGACAGAAAGGCCCUUCCCGGGGAGGGAUAACGGCACUGAAAGAUCUUUUCCGGGAAAAGCAGAACACUGGAACACGGAAGUAGCCUUCAGUUCCUGCAGCAGAUUUGGGACCACGUGGAAGGAGGAGCAGAGCUGGCCCGGUGCCACAGCUGCGCAUGCAGUGGGGAUGGAGAAGCUGCCAUUGUCUGUCUUCUCGGCUGAGCCUUUAAAAACAAGGCACGUCUCUGUAGUGCCUUUUCGAGCCUGACAUAAAAGUUCCCCCUAGACGUCCAAAGGCAGCUGUUUUCUUAGCAGAAGGCGGUCAGGAAGAGGCAAAGCAGGCAAAGGCAUCAGCUAAGUCUGGCUAAAGAAGUUGGCUAACCUGUUUCUCCCCCCUUCUAAGCAGCCAAUUUGGAAGCUCUCUGCAGAGAUCUAUCUGCCUGGGAGGAGAAGCAGAGCCAACCACUGAAAAGUGGCACGUGAGCUCUGGUGAGGACUGCUGCUCCGCCUGCCUUGGUGUGGGAACUGCUGAGCUGCCAUUCCUGUGGUGGGAGUGUUUCUCCUCUCAUGCAGGCAAGGCAGAGACCUUCCAGGUAAGGAGCAGGUAAGGUUUAAGUGACGAGAUGUCCCAAGGAAGAAGUGACAUGACAAAAGGAAAUGGCCUCGAGUUGCACCAGGGAAGGCUUAGAUUGGAUUGUAGGAAACACUUCCUGACUGAAAGGGUGGUGAGGCAUUGGAGCAGGCUGCCCAGGGAAGUCCCCGUCCCUGGAGACAUGGAAAGGAUGUGUAGACGUGGUGUUUAGGGACCUGAUUUGGGGGUGGGGGGGGCUUGGCAGUGCUGGGGCAACGAGGGAGGCAGGGAGGGAGAAAAAUCCUCUCUUAACAUGUACCAAUUAAUCUGUGAAACUCAUCACGGCAGGACAGCAGGAAGACUGAAAGUGUGAUAAGGUGUGGAGUGAAAUGGAGAAUCCGAGAAGUGACAAGAGCAUCCGGUGCACAGGGGGACUGUGCAGUUUGCUUUUUGCUUGGAUUUCAACUCCAAAGUUGUGAGGAAUUUGGAAUGAGAUGGGACAUUUCAGAAGAAGACCAAGGAGAGGAAGAAGAAGUUGUUGCAGUCCUGGCAAAAUCUUUUUUUCCUAGCUAAUAAAAGAAGUUAGUUUGAAAAAAAAAAAAAAGUGUUUUUUUUUCCUUCACUCGUAUAUUCUUUGGUGGUGGAUGUAUGGUGUGUUGUUUUCCUUUUUGUAUUAUUAACUAUGUGCAAUUUGGUUUUGGAGUGAAGAUAACCUUAUGGAUGGGGUUGGUUUGUAUUUGAGGUAGAAUUAAUUUCAAUUGGUUUCCUUAACAGACUUCUGAGAUGUAUAAUAUUGGGAUUUUGGUUGUGUUCCUUGUAUGUGUAAAGAUACAGAUUUGGUAGGGCUAGCUGGGCUGCUGGAGUUUUGGGUGUUAAUUUAUUAGAUGGCUUUUGCUGGAUGCCAUUUUUAAUUUUUGAAAGUUUUUUUCAUGUAGCAGUUUUAAAGUGGUUUGUUUUAUAUUUAUAUAUAUUUAUAUAUAUUUAUAUAUAUUUAUUUAUAUUUAUAUAUAUUUAUAUAUUUAUAUAUUUAUUUAUUUAUAUAUAUUUAUAUAUUUAUUGUUUUAUAUUUUAUGAUAAGGAUAGCGUAUACUGUGUACAGGUGUUCAUUAAGGUAUUAUAUUUUAGCAGGUCUGAAGUGUUAAGUUAAUGAAUUUAUAUAGUUCACCAGACAGGGAUUAUUUGUGUUUAUUUAGUUAGAGGCAGGGCUUUUUUAGCUUUAAGGGUGAUUUUAGCAAAGAUAUCAGAGGUUUUAUUAACUAUAUUGGGAAUGGGGGUCUUUGUAAAUAAGUGUGGUAGCUAGAUUGUGGGAAAAUGGAAUUGACAUAUUUGGUGAAAUUCUUGGGUAUUGUCCUUUCGGAAAUUUAUGAUUGUAUUGCUGAUUGCAGCUGUGACCAAGCGACCAGAGCCCGGUGACUGUAGGACAUUGCCAGCGAGAGAGGCGGCCUUCCUUUGCAGCGGACGUGGAUUCUCAUCCCAGGAUGCUCGAGAGAUUCUCAUCCCAGGAUGCUCGAGAGAUAAGUCGAGGGCUGUGCCACGCUGAGGGGAUGGAAGCGAGGUGCUGGGAGGGCCUUUUGAGUAGCUUCUUGGGAGGCAGGGAUGUGCAGGAGAUGGCCCCUUAGGCCACAUGGAGGAGAAGUCUCAGCGUGCUGAGGUGCUCAGGGCAGAGCGGUCCCGGUGCCUGUCACUUGUGUCACUUGUCUGUCGUGCCUUCUGUGUCUUUUGGAUGUCUCAUGUCACGUGUCUUGUGCCUUAGUCCUUUGAGGGGCUUAUGGUUUGUCCUGUUCUGUGUCACGGGUGUCUGGGUGUUUGGGCCGAUGCCGCUCUGCCCUGCUGCAAAGCCUGGUGUAGGUAUCAUAGGAGAAGUCCUGGGGGCCUGGAAAUUUGUAAUGCAGGAUGUAGGUGAGCUCUGGAUGGGAUUUGUAGAUUGACGCUAGAUGUCUGGAGCUCCUGUGGUAUCCUGCAGCACUCUGACUUUUGUGCUAACGUUCUUUCAGGUGCAGCCAGCUGAAUUCCGUGGCAGAGGGGCCCGUGCCGGGUGAGUGGGUUGCCCCAAGCAGGUCAGUCUCCGUUCGGCUUUGCAGGGGAAGCAUACGUGGAGACUCUGUGUUCACUGCGUUGUUCUUUGUCUUGAUUUUUAGGAAGUCAAGCCGGGUAUCAGCAGGCAAGGUGAGCAGAGACUGGUGAAAGGAAGCAGGUGGUAUUGCUCAGGUCUCGAUUUCUGGUGCAACACUUAGGCUCCGUUCUCAUUUGUGUGCUUUAGGCGUUCCACUCACUGCUUUAGGCCGAGACCCCCUCAGCAACUGGCCAAUGGACCCGGUUCAUGGCUUUUAUGGGAAUUGGUCUUGAGGAGUAAAUUUCUGUUCAAGUGAUUUUUUUUUUUUUUAAUCUAUUAUUAUGUUGUGUCUUAGUCCUGUUAAUUGUUUUGAAUUUUAUUUUUGAUACUUUGAGGCAACUUCUUUGUGGUUUUCUGUUUUUUUGUUUGGUUUUUUUUGUAGCUAAUAUUAUACAAGUUUUUUUUUUCUAAUGAUUUUAGUAAUUUUAAUUAUUGUGGCUUAACUGUAAUUUGGGUAAGGGUGUAUAAAUUGUAGUUUAAGAGUUUGUGAUAUAUAGGAUUUAUUGAUUUACAAUUUAAAGUUUGCGAGUGAUAACGUUAGGUGUUAAGAGGUAUACUAGCAAUGUAUGUAGAAAAUGGAUUUUUAGGAUUGGUGACUGAUGAACACUGUAUUUGGAUGCGUGGUUUUAGUUAGGGUUGCUUAUGUGUUUUGUUUUGGUUGUGGAACUAUUUAUGUAGGGUUUUUUUGGUGUAUUUUAAAUAACGUUUGACACAGUGAGUAGCAAUCUCGUCUAUUUAUUUUUUGUGGAAACAGGUAUAACUUUUUUUUCAGGUUAUGAAAUUUACAGGAUUACUUUAUUGAUUACUUACUAAAUAUUGUUCUCGAGUAGGUUUUCGUAACUCUGAUUUUGAAAUCAAAGAAAAAUGAGUGGAAAAAGAUGAGGUAGAGCAGUUUUCUCCUUAUGGGAUAUAAAGGGUUUAACACAGAA